CCGGCCAGCAGAGCCUACACACAGCAGACAGAUGGGGCUCUCAGGAGGGAAAAAGAAGUCCAGGAAAUAUUAAGAAUUGCUCAGUGAAGACCUGGGAUGCUGAGAGCCCUUCCAGUGCCCUUCCACUGUUCUCAACAGCAAACGGUUAAGGCUGUCUCUGGAGCUCAAGCAAUGAUCCAGGGAACAACAUGUGAGAGCUACAGCGGAUGGUCUCAGGAUGUUAAACAGAAGCAAAGACGACAAGAGCCUUGUCACUCGAGCAAAGGAUCAGAUACCAGCCCUGUAUUAAAACAGAGCGAUGAGAACAUCUGAGCCACCUUUCUGUUUGCUCACAAACCAUCUGCAAAGAAGUAACAGGAAAUAGCAGGAUGCAGAAGACAAAAGUUGCCCCAUACUUGAAGGAUGCCACUGAACAAAACCAAGUUUGUUUAAUUGAAACAAUAAAUUGUUUAAU
rnacentral:lncRNA from 1 species